GACGUAGGGCGCGAGCGUUGUCCGGAUUUAUUGGGCGUAAAGAGCUCGUAGGCGGCUUGUCGCGUCGUCCGUGAAAACUUGGGGCUCAACCCCAAGCUUGCGGUCGAUACGGGCAGGCUAGAGUUCGGUAGGGGAGACUGGAAUUCCUGGUGUAGCGGUGAAAUGCGUAGAUAUCUGGAGGAACACCGGUGGCGAAGGCGGCAUCCUGGACCGGCAUUGACGCUGAGGCGCGAAAGCGUGGGGAGCAAACAGG
rnacentral:rRNA from 1 species